rnacentral:tRNA from 1 species
AGGCCCGUAGCACAACGGCUAGUGCAGCGGCCUCCAAAGCCGACGGUUGGGGGUUCGAAUCCCUCCGGGCCUGCCA